AACAAACGCUGGCGGCGUGCCUAAUACAUGCAAGUCGAACGGGGAAAGCUUUCGUGUGAGUACUAGUGGCGCACGGGUGAGGAACGCGUGGAUAAUCUGCCUUAGAGUGGGGGAUAACUAGUCGAAAGAUUAGCUAAUACCGCAUAAGACCACGAGAGCUGCGGCUUUUGAGGUCAAAGGUUUUUCGCUCUAAGAUGAGUCCGCGUAAGAUUAGCUAGUUGGUGAGGUAACGGCUCACCAAGGCGACGAUCUUUAACUGGUCUGAGAGGAUGAUCAGUCACACUGGAACUGAGACACGGUCCAGACUCCUACGGGAGGCAGCAGUAGGGAAUAGUGCACAAUGGAGGAAACUCUGAUGCAGCGACGCCGCGUGAGUGAUGAAGGCCUUCGGGUCGUAAAGCUCUGUCGCAGGGGAAUAACACAAUGAAGGUACCCUGUAAGAAAGGAUCGGCUAACUUCGUG
rnacentral:rRNA from 1 species